CCCCUGGUGGUCUAGUGGUUAGGAUGCAGCACUUUCACCGCCGGGGCCUGGGUUCGGUUCCCAGUCAGGGGA
rfam:Manacus vitellinus contig33205, whole genome shotgun sequence.